ensembl:snoRNA SNORD14 Small nucleolar RNA SNORD14
UUGCUGUGAUGACGUCUUUUCCUGCCAUUCGUAGUUUCCACCAGAGGUCGAAAGGCCAAAGAUGGUUCAAACCUUCCUUGGAUGUCUGAGCGA